AACUAAUUGGCAGAAAAAUGCAUUAGAAUUAGAAUCUAAUUAAACUUCAAUUA
rnacentral:tRNA from 1 species